GCCUACGUGUCACCUUUUUCAGCCCUUCUGAGUUUGCAGGUGAGGAAAGAACUCAGGAUGAUCAAGGAAAGAAAAGCCUGCGGGUCCAGAUGUCAUCAACUCAAGGCUUCUCAGGUCCUGUACAGACCAGCUGUGCGGGACAGUCGAGCAUAUUUUCAACAUGAGCCUGAAGCUGGGGAGAGUGCCACAGCUGUGGAAAACAUCCUGCGUGGUAGCAGUGCCAAAGACUCUGCACCCCAAGGACCUCGACAGCUACAGGCCAGUGGCACUGUCAUCGCACCUAAUGAAGACACUGGAGCUAGAGAGAAUGACAGAAUGGAUCCUGGACUACCUCACCAACCGACCAGUGUGUGAGGAUACGGGACUGUGAGACGGACAUGGCUGUGUGCAGCACGGGGGCCCCGCAGGGAACAGUUCUGACUCCUUUCCUCUUCACCCUCUACACUGCAGCUUCACACACAACUCUGCUUCCACCUGCGAAAGUUAUCUAACGACUCUGCAAUCGUCGGCCUUAUCACAGACAGGUACGACAGGGAGUACAGAUAAUUGACCCAGGGCUUUGUGGGUUGGUGCCAGCAGAACCGCCUCCAGAUCAAUGUAGGUAAAACCUACAAGAGCUGCUGGUUGACUUCCACAGGAGCAAACACUCACCUCCCUCACCAGCAGACAUCCAGGGAAUGGACAUUGAGAAGGUGAACUCCUACAAGUAUCUGGGUGUUCACCUGAACAACAAACCAUGCACCCCAUGCAGGACACUCACAUGUGUGUGAAGGAGAGAUACCACAGGUCCGUCCUUCCUGCUGCUGUCAGACUUUACAAUCAAUACUGCUCCAAGUAGACUGCACGUAACAAAACUGACAACCCACUCAUGUGCAAUAUCACUGUUCACUUAACUGUACAAUGUCAAUAUUUCCUUUGUGCAAUACUAUGUAUACUGUGUAUUCAACCUUCCAGUCCGUUUACUUGUUAUAUUUUGCCUUUACUGUUUAUUAUAUCUUGUAUUUUUGUCUACUGAUGCCUCUAAUUGAACUAUCCCUUUUGCUGCUGUAAUACUGCAAAUCUCCUCGCUGUGGACGUAAUAAAGGAUUAUCUUAAA